ensembl:lncRNA
UUUCCCUGUCCUGUGCAGCCCUGGCUCGUGCUGUCAAGUGGCUGUGGUACUGCUGUGCCAUGCAAGUGAUGCUCACAGCUUUCUACGUUGUGAAGCAGGCUUUUAACACGUUUUGGUUACUGGAACUGUUUUCAAGGAGAACGUCACGCCAGGAGCCUCCAGAGUGCUCUGUGUUUGUUACCAAGCUUUUGCAACUGUACUGAUUUGAAGGAUGACGUGGUGUUUGCUCGUGGUCCCAAUUAGAGGCUCUUUAGAGCAAAAUCCAGAGCAAUUUCUGGAUGUCGUUGACCAUGAUAGCUGAUUUUCUAAUCAUGGCUAAGCUGCUCUUCGUUCUGAAGUGAGCAUUGUUGCACCCUGACUGAAGCUGUGUUGCUCUGCAAAGGUGCUACCAGAGGGCAGCCACAGCGAGGCUGGGACAGAGGGCCGAUCAAAUGCUGCUCCUGCACUUCUGUCUCUGUCCCUAAACAGUGCCCCUCUCAAUGUCUUACAGCUACGGAUUUGGUAUCAGCUCAGAUGACUGGAAAUAGCUGCUGUUUUUUCCCAAUGUCCAGAUGUGCUGUUUUUUUUUUUAAACAUCGAAUUGUGCUUUAAAAACGUGGUCAUAUGACAGAGAUUACAGUUGUUAAGUAUUCACGUAUCAAGGAUUUCUAUUUUUGAAGAGGCAAACAACUCCAUUAUAGUUUGCAAUCUAUAUAUAAGAACUUACAGUGAAAAGCACGUACCAGAAAUAACCAAGAUGGGCUGAACCUUUAAGUUCCAAACUAUUUUCCUGAGCAAUGAGAAUAUUUUAUGAAACCUAAAGGAAUCUGCUUCCUGGAAAACCUCCCUCUGAAACAGCCCUGAGCUGCCCUGACGGCCAAGAACAAGAGUUUGGAUGCUUUGGAGCCCUCCUGUUAGAGGAAAUAGAUUUUUGAUGGGGGAUUGAAAUAGAUUUUUAAUGGGGGAAAAGGCUGCCACAAACAUAAGGCUGAAAGGGGGGUAAAAUGGCACGUUGUGUCCGUGCACGGAAUUAUGGACAGUUAUUGAAGGGAAGAUGUACCACAGUUUGGAGCUUUUAGAGUAUUUAAGGCUUAUGUCAUAAGGAUGCCUGAAGCACUACAGUAAUUGAAGUAUUCAAAUCUGCUGAAUGAAUACCAGCUAAACCGUUUUCUUUAGAUAACAUGACUUGAAGCUGCAGAACUGUCAGUGUAUCUCAUAUGCUGCAAUUGUUUGCCUUUUAUUUGUGUGUGAUUCACUACUUUUACUAAUUGUUAGAGCUGUAACGCAUCAGUAUCAUUAAUAACUAAUGACAGCAUGAUCUCACUACAUCUGCAACUAACAGGGUCACUUGGCGUGUCAGCUGUGUCACAGCCCCCAUCAGCACUGGGAUGUGGUGCUCCCAGCAGUCCCCAUUCUCCUUCCUGAUGCUGUACGCACGCCAGGUCUGAGGAUACAGGCUAACAAAUUGGGUUUUAAGCUCCUUUUGAUUGCAGCAUUGCACGCUGCUCCCAGAUCUGCAGGACUGAGCAU